rnacentral:rRNA from 1 species
GGUAGGGGAGCGUUCUGUAAGCCUGUGAAGGUGGCCUGUGAGGGUUGCUGGAGGUAUCAGAAGUGCGAAUGCUGACAUAAGUAACGAUAAAGCGGGUGAAAAGCCCGCUCGCCGGAAGACCAAGGGUUCCUGUCCAACGUUAAUCGGGGCAGGGUGAGUCGACCCCUAAGGCGAGGCCGAAAGGCGUAGUCGAUGGGAAACGGGUUAAUAUUCCCGUACUUGGUGUUACUGCGAAGGGGGGACGGAGAAGGCUAUGUUGGCCGGGCGACGGUUGUCCCGGUUUAAGCGUGUAGGUGUGUGUUCCAGGUAAAUCCGGUUCACUUUAACACUGAGGCGUGAUGACGAGGCACUACGGUGCUGAAGCAACAAAUGCCCUGCUUCCAGGAAAAGCCUCUAAGCAUCAGGUAACAUCAAAUCGUACCCCAAACCGACACAGGUGGUCAGGUAGAGAAUACCAAGGCGCUUGAGAGAACUCGGGUGAAGGAACUAGGCAAAAUGGUGCCGUAACUUCGGGAGAAGGCACGCUGACACGUAGGUGAAGUGAUUUACUCAUGGAGCUGAAGUCAGUCGAAGAUACCAGCUGGCUGCAACUGUUUAUUAAAAACACAGCACUGUGCAAACACGAAAGUGGACGUAUACGGUGUGACGCCUGCCCGGUGCCGGAAGGUUAAUUGAUGGGGUCAGCGCAAGCGAAGCUCCUGAUCGAAGCCCCGGUAAACGGCGGCCGUAACUAUAACGGUCCUAAGGUAGCGAAAUUCCUUGUCGGGUAAGUUCCGACCUGCACGAAUGGCGUAAUGAUGGCCAGGCUGUCUCCACCCGAGACUCAGUGAAAUUGAACUCGCUGUGAAGAUGCAGUGUACCCGCGGCAAGACGGAAAGACCCCGUGAACCUUUACUAUAGCUUGACACUGAACAUUGAGCCUUGAUGUGUAGGAUAGGUGGGAGGCUUUGAAGUGUGGACGCCAGUCUGCAUGGAGCCGACCUUGAAAUACCACCCUUUAAUGUUU